AGUAUUCAUCGCAGACACCAACCAAACACAAUGCUUAAGUACCAGUACAAUAAGGCUUGAGAUCACCUUCUAACUUUUGUAUGCAAGAAGAUUGCAGUAUUGCCCCUAAAAUCAUUUGAAGUCUCCGAAUCAGUGAGAAUUCAUUUAUGAUUAAAUAUUACAAGUAAGUUCGACCCCCGGAAAAAAAAUGAGAAAGAGAAAUAUCA